rnacentral:rRNA from 1 species
AGUGAACGCUGGCGGUAGGCCUAACACAUGCAAGUCGAACGGCAGCACAGUAAGAGCUUGCUCUUACGGGUGGCGAGUGGCGGACGGGUGAGGAAUACAUCGGAAUCUACUUUUUCGUGGGGGAUAACGUAGGGAAACUUACGCUAAUACCGCAUACGACCUACGGGUGAAAGCAGGGGAUCUUCGGACCUUGCGCGAUUGAAUGAGCCGAUGUCGGAUUAGCUAGUUGGCGGGGUAAAGGCCCACCAAGGCGACGGUCCGUAGCUGGUCUGAGAGGAUGAUCAGCCACACUGGAACUGAGACACGGUCCAGACUCCUACGGGAGGCAGCAGUGGGGAAUAUUGGACAAUGGGCGCAAGCCUGAUCCAGCUAUACCGCGUGGGUGAAGAAGGCCUUCGGGUUGUAAAGCCCUUUUGUUGGGAAAGAAAAGCAGCAGGUUAAUACCCCGCUGUUCUGACGGUACCCAAAGAAUAAGCACCGGCUAACUUCGUG